GUGAAAGGAACAAGGCAUGAGGCAGUUAAAUUUUAUACUCCUUCAUACUUCACACGCUUUCAACUGAAUUAUCUGGAAGCAGCAUAUCUGGGUUUCAGCUGUGCUGUACACUGGCUGCAGAAACACCGCAGAGGGCAUCAGCGCACUGCAGCAGUUUAAGCUCAGGUACAUUGGUACCUGAACACGAUUAUUCUACUUACAGGUUAUUUACCCUUGAAGUAAGUAAAAAUAGGAUUAAGAAGAGGAUUAAGAGAACGGAGCAUUGUUUGACACUGUCCAGAACAACAAAAAUGGAUCUGAUGGAUGAACCACUCACAGGAAUUGCCUGGAUGGUUGCAUUUAGAGAGUUCUGGUCAACAGCUCAAUGUCCAAGUGGAGACCGGUGGCAAGUGGCAUUCCUUCCUCAGGUAUCAGUGCUGGGACUGGUUCUAUUUAACAUCUUUGUAGGUGACAGAUAGUGGGAUUGAAUGCACCCUCAGCAAGUUUGCACGUGACACCGUACUGUGUGGUGCAGUUGACACACUUGAGGGAAGACAUGGUAUCUAGAGGAACAUGGACGGGCUUGAGAGGUGGGCUCAUGCCAACCUCAUGAAAUUCAGUAAGGCCAAUUGCAAGGUCCUGCAUAUGGGUUGGAGCAAUCCCAAGCACAUACGUUGGGUGGAGAAUGGCUUGAGAGCAGACCUGAGGACAAGGAUUUGGAGGUGUUGGUUGAUGAAAGACUUAACAUGAAACUCAGCAUGAUCUGGCAAUGUCCGCUUGCAGCCCAGAAGGCCAACCAUAUCCUGACUUUCAUGAAAAGAAGCGUGACCAGCAGGUCAAGGAAG
ensembl:lncRNA